CCUACGGGCGGCAGCAGUGGGGAAUAUUGGACAAUGGGCGAAAGCCUGAUCCAGCCAUGCCGCGUGUGUGAAGAAGGCCUUCGGGUUGUAAAGCACUUUCAGUGGGGAGGAAAGCCUUGGGGCUAAUACCCUCGAGGAAGGACAUCACCCACAGAAGAAGCACCGGCUAACUCCGUGCCAGCAGCCGCGGUAAUACGGAGGGGUGCGAGCGUUAAUCGGAAUUACUGGGCGUAAAGCGCGCGUAGGCGGUCUGAUAAGCCGGUUGUGAAAGCCCCGGGCUCAACCUGGGAACGGCAUCCGGAACUGUCAGGCUAGAGUGCAGGAGAGGAAGGUAGAAUUCCCGGUGUAGCGGUGAAAUGCGUAGAGAUCGGGAGGAAUACCAGUGGCGAAGGCGGCCUUCUGGACUGACACUGACGCUGAGGUGCGAAAGCGUGGGUAGCAAACAGGAUUAGAUACCCCGGUAGUC
rnacentral:rRNA from 1 species